rnacentral:lncRNA from 1 species
CCCGAUUCAAAACCAAUAAACUCUGACGCAGGAUUAUUGAAUUAAGACUGCUUUUCCCUUGACCCUGAUGUGUCAAUUUACCACUAAUCAAACCUAAACCACAAUUACGGAUGGCCGGUUCAAUUGGCUAUAUAAUUAAUUCUAACCCAAUAAAUAUUUGCAACUAUCUAAUGGAUUAAAACAAUUAAUAUCAUUAAACAUGGAGAAUCGCAGAUGCAAGCAUAAAAUAAAGUAUAAGAACAAUUAGAUCUCACAGAAUAAUUUCGCUAGUGCUUCCCUAAUCGUUGCCGGAAUAAACGAAUUUAGCUAGAAAACAUAAUUAAAUAACACAAGAAAUAAAUAAAUAAAUUGCAAGGAAAAGAUGAAAGAAAUAAAACUUGAAUUGAAAACGCCAAAGUUGCGCAAGGUUCUGCUCCAAAGCUCUGCCUCAAAAUUGUCGUCUGAUAUGUGUGAUAUCUCCCUUAAAACUUAACUAAUACUAAUAUAUAUAUAAGUUGAAAAAGUCUAAACCUAAUUCUAAUCAAUUAAAGUGGCGCAGGCCCACUUAUUAAUAACAAAACUAACCUAAUCUGCUAAAGUGGCGUGAAAGGCCAAGGAAAUUAACUAAAAGCAAAAUUAAUCUAACAUAACUAAAGUUGGCGCUGGGCCCAAACUAACAAAAUAAAGAAACCAAAAGUGGCGCAUGAAAGCCCACAAAAUAAAUCAAAGUGCAGCCCACUUCAAUAAUUCCAAUCAGUUCGAAUUUCAGCUUGUAUUCUUCACAGCUCCGAGCUUCAAAAUUCUUCUCAAAAUCAUGUCUUUUCUUCAAAACCUAUUAAAUACCAUCAAAAUUCAUAUAAGGCCAGAAUCAUAUCCUAAAGAUGAUAUUUAACACGAAUUAAGCACAAGAAUCAUACUAAAAUCCCCCAAAUAAAUGCGUAUAAAUACGCCCAAUCAAAUCCCCCCACACUUAAACAAAGCUCGCCCUCGAGCACCAAAAAGAACAAAACGACAGGGAAGGAACAAAAGAAGACUCAAAAUAGCAAAAACAAAGCUUUGGCAACAAUAUGAUAGAUAAUACUCAAAGUCUUGAUCAAGAUACAAUCAUCCACAAACCACUAACCAUGCUCUUGCUCAGAAAAUUAUGCCAUGUUCUUCAUUCAAGUCAAAAUUGUGCAAAUUCAAUCCUGCCUCACCAAGUUCACUCAAUUUCUCUCAAAAGACAAAUAUGGACAGAAUAGAUUCACACAAUUCACAACUUCAUGCCUUCAAACACAGCUUGCCCUUAUGUCACUAUCUCCACCAAAAUAUGGAACCAAUGCACAAAUCAAAAGGUCUUGCAUUUUGGUUGUAAUGGGGCUUGGGUACGUAUAGGUGGGAUAAACAAGGAAAAGGGAUCAAAAAGGCUCAAUAUAUGACUGAAAACAUGCAACACACCAGACCUUCCAUCAAUAAAACUCUAGAGUAGCUCCUCAACAUAUCCACAAUCCUCAAAAAGUAUGCAUUUUAUUAUAGAACUCUAUUUUUCUUUUUUUCUUUUCUUUUUUUUUUUUAACAGCAUAUAUAUCCCAUAGAAUCAAUGAACUAUCUCUCAACACACUAAAAUUAUAGGAGUAUUCAUCUUCUCAUCUCGUCAUAAUCUAGUGCAUUCACAUGUUUUCAAGGGACAAAAGCAGGCUAAGGCUCAAUAUAUGUGAGUUUUCAUCAAACAAAAAGGAGCAAAUUAGGCACAAACGGGCUCACUAAGGGAAUAGUGAAGUUUCGGAUAAUAUGUUCAGGCCAAAAUAAUGGUUAUUCCUAAAUGCCUUAAUCAUUUUCAUGCAUUAAAUUCUCAAACUCAGUCUUGACUAUGGCAACAGGGCAAACCAGAAAUUCGGCAUUGAAGUUCGAAUCAAUCACUCAUCAAAUAAACAAUUAGAGCUAGUCAUGUGUGCUCAUUAGGGCUCAAUCCUCACAAUUUAGUAGGCUUCAAGUAUUUUGAUCAAAUUUUGCACGUUUUUCUCAUACAAGAAUACCUACGAACAUAUGCAUAAUUCCAUCACAAGAGCAACAGCCUAUCAUACCAAAUCCAAUAUCCUAAUCUCAACUCUUCACAUCAUCCAUCAUAAUAUUGCCAAAGGACUCGAAACUGACUCGAAAACCAAAUCAACAGAUCAACAGAGCAAAAACACACAAAAUAAAGACACCCCCCCACACUUGGACAACACAAUGUCCUCAUUGUGUGAGAGUAUGACAGACCAAAACAGAAACCAACAGACAACUAAAGGACAGAAGCUUCAAAAGCGAAAAGCAAAAAGAAAGAAACUUCCCUGAACUGGAAUCAUGUAGGUGGAUGAGGAGGCUGAAGCUUCCGGCGAUGAGGAAUGGUGGUAGGGCGGUUCGCUGGUGGUUGGGGCAGGGGUGGACGGACGGAGCAGCGGCGGAAUGGAGGGGGUGGUGUUGGGGGAAACCAAAUUGAGGGAAUUUUGACUUUAGUCAAAAAAACUAGUUCCAGAAUUUGCACCUUGGCCCCCAACUUUUCAGAAACUGGAGGGCAACCCCCAAACCUGCGAAAUUGACCAAAACACACCCCAAGCUUUUUUUUUUAUUUUAAUUUAUUUUUAAUAAUAUUUUUUUUUUAAGAGUAGAAAAAAAAAAACGAAAUAAAACAAAAACAAAGGGACAAGAAAAAAUCGGGUUAGCCUCCCGAUGAGCGCCUUUGUUUAACGUCCUUGGCUGGACAGAAAAGAAGUUCAAAAUCCUUAGACGAUGGUUGGAGACGUCAGGCUGAGAGCAUUGAACGACUCCAUCUCGACUCCAGCAUAGUAUGGCUUGAGUAAUUGUCCAUUAACCUUAAAACACUUUCGUGUUUCGAGGCUUUGGAUUUCCACAGCUCCAUGAGGACUCACACUAACAACUUCAAACGGGCCUAACCAACGAGAUUUCAAUUUUCCUGGCAUAAUCCUUAAGCGUGCGUUAAACAAGAGAACCUUUUGCCCAACUUCAAAGGAUUUCCUUCGAAUGUAUUUGUCAUGUAGAAAUUUGGUUCGUUCCUUGUAACGACUUGCNUGAUUAUUUUUUAGAGAGCAAAUACUUAAGAGCUGCAUGGUCAGAUAAACAACAACUUUAGAGCCAAUCAAAUAAGAUCUAAAUUUUUCACAAGCAAAAACGAUGGCUAAAAGCUCCUUCUCCGUGGUUGUGUAAUUGCAUUGAGCCGGGUUGAGAGUUUUUGGAAGCAUAGUAAAUCACAUGGCUCUCUUUCCCAACUUUCUGCCCUAGCACUGCUCCAACGGCAAAGUCACUUGCAUCGCACAUGAUUUCAAAAGGCUAUCCCCAAAUUGGUGGUUGAAUGAUGGGGGCAGAAGUGAGUCUACUCUUCAACAAAUCAAAGGCCUCCUUGCACUUGUCAUCGAACACAAAGACACAUCUUGAUGAAGCAACCUAGUGAGAGGUUGAGCAGUCUUGCGAAGUCCUUGAUGAAGACGACCUAUAAAAACCUAGACAUAGGCCUAAGAAAGCACGAAUCUCUUUCACAUUAGAAGGAUAAGGUAACUUAACAAUCAAAUCAAUUUUCGCCUUAUCAACUUCUACUCCUCUUGCAGAAAUCACAUGCCCAAGAACAAUCCCCUCUCUCACCAUGAAAUGACAUUUCUCAAAGUUCAACACCAAAUUAGUGUCGACACAUCUCUGCAAAACUUGCUCAAGAUUAGUCAAGCAAUGGUCAAAAGAGUCUCCAUGCACAGUAAAAUCAUCCAUGAAAAUUUCUAUACAACUCUCAAUCAUGUCAGAAAAUAGGCUCAUCAUACAACGCUGAAAAGUACCAGGAGCGUUACAUAAUCCAAACGGCAUACGACGCCAUGCAAAAGUACCAAAAGGACAAGUAAAAGUGGUUUUCUCUUGAUCUUCCUGAGCUACAAAAAUUUGAAAAUAUCCAGAGUAGCCAUCAAGAAAACAAAAGAAUUCCUUACCAGCCAAUCGCUCAAGCAUCUCAUCAAUGAAAGGUAAUGGAAAAUGAUCUUUCCUAGUAGCAUUAUUCAAUUUCCUAAAAUCAAUGCACAUACGCCAACCAGUUUGCAACCUCAUGGGAAUUAACUCAUUCUUCUCAUUCUUAACCAAUUGAAAACCAGACUUCUUAGGAACCACAUGAACAGGACUGACCCAUGUACUAUCAGAAAUCGGAUAAAUAAUCCCUAGAUCAAGCAAUUUAAGAAUUUCUUUAAGCACAACUUCUUUCAUGACAGGGUUCAAUUUUCUUUGAGGAUCCCUAGACGGCUUACUAUUAGGCUCAAGUAAGAUUCUAUGCAUGCAAGUAGAGGGACUAAUACCUUUGAUAUCGGCUAUAGUCCAUCCAAUGGCAGAUUUAUGCAUCUUAAGAAGACUUACCAACCUUACCUCUUGUUCUGCACUGAGUUCAUUGCUGAUGAUCACUGGCAGCGUGUCAUCCUCUCCUAAAAACACAUAUUUCAGAUGCUGGGGCAGUACCUUCAAGUCCAGCUUUGGUGGCUUCACAACAGAGGGCAAAAUCGGUUCUGUGCUGGUCGGUAUGGGCAUCCUGCUCGACAGGUGCCGAAUUGGAAUUUCCUCCGUUGAGUACAGCUGCAUGAUGAUCUCUCUAAUGGCUUCAUUCUCCUCAGUUUGGUGUUCUCUUUAGUUAGGGAACUGAAAAUAACCUGCUCCAGCUCAUCCUCCCUGAAAUUCUCAACAAAUUCCUCAACCAAAGGGUCAAUAACAUCAAUCAUGAACACAGCUUCAGGAUCCUCAACAUGCUUCAUAGCCUCAAAAAUAUUAAAUGUGACAACAUCUCCAUCAAAUUCAAGGCUAAGCAUUCCACUAUACACAUCAAUUUUUGCCUUAGCAGUUUUCAUGAAUGGUCUCCCUAAAAGAAUCAAUGAUUGUUUAGCAGAGGCAGAAUCAUCCAUAUCAACAAUAUAAAAAUCCACAGGAAAAAUUAAAUCAUUGACCUUAACAAGGACAUCCUCAACAACACCUUCGGGAUAUGCAGCAGACCUAUCAGCUAACUGAAUGAUAACACGAGUGUCUUUCAAAGGUCCUAAUUGCAAAUCCUUAUACACAGAAUAAGGCAUGACAUUUAUGGAUGCUCCUAAAUCUAGCAUGGCUCUCUCAACAGUCUUAUUACCUAUAAUGCAUGGAAUGGUGAACAUACCAGGAUCUCGACACUUUUGGGGCAAUUUUCUUUGAAGAACAGCAGAAACAUUCUCACUCACUCGAAUUCUCGCAUCAUUCCCAAACUUCAUUUUCUUAGAGCAUAACUCUUUUAAAAACUUUGCGUACCUGGGAACUUGCUUAAUUGCAUCAAGCAAGGGCAAGUUUAUUUCUACCUUCUUGAAGAUUUCUAGAAUAUCCUUCUCUUCUUCAAUUCUCUUGUUCUGAGCCAACCUAGAAGGAAAAGGUGGUGCAAUCAGUGAUUGAGGAAUUGAAACCUUAGGUUUUCCACUUACCUUAGAAGAGAUAGGCUCGGUGGAUUCUGGUGACUUCUCACUAAUUGCAUCGUCCUUGGCUUCAUCGGGCUUUUCUUUGUCCUGCUGCUUAGGCUGUGGCUCAGCUAGAAUUCUCCCACUUCUUGUAGUUACAGCACUUGCAUUUUCCUUGGGAUUCAUCUCCGUGACAGAAGGAAGUCGGCCUUGAUUCGCCUGCAGCUUGUUCACCUGAGUGGCUAACUGCGUGAUCUGUGUGCCCAUAUUACUCAACGCUGCCUGGGUUUCAUGCUGGAACGCCUGCUGACUUUGCACCAAAUUCUUCACAAUUUCACUGCUCUGGGCGAGGCUCUUCAUGAUAUCGCUCAUAUUGGGUGCAGAACUCGGUGCAGGACGUGCGGUAUGGGCAUACUGUCCAGCCUGCGGCGGAUUCGGCGCGUACAUCCCUGGUUCCUGCUGUCUCCACCUAAAAUUUGGGUGAUUUCUCCACCCUGGAUUGUAGGUGUUGGAAAAAGGGUCGUUUCGCCUUUGCCUUUGUGCGUUCAUCUCUUGCUCAUCAGCGGAUCCCAUGCACGCUUGCUCAGUAUUAUUAUCCUGCAGAGAUGGACAUGCAUCAGUAGGAUGAUUAUUUUCAAAGCAAAUUCCACAUUGAACGUGUUGAGUUUUAGAGACAGCAAGUCCUCUAACUAAAGAGGUGAGAGCAUCAAUUCUCUCGUUCAUGUUGGAAUCUUCUACUUUCUGCACUGGCCUAUAACGAUCAUCAUCCUCAUCCUCAUAUUGUUGGCCAUUUGAAACCAUGUCAACGAUGAGUUGCUUUGCUUCGUCCAAAGUUUUAUUGGUCAAGCUUCCACCACAAGCAGCGUCAACAAUUUUCCUAUCAAAAGAAGACAUACCACGAUAAAAAUAGUUAGUAAGCAAUUGGUAGUCAGAAAAUCCAUGAUCAGGACACUUGCGACACAGCUGUUGGAAUCUCUCCCAAUAAUCGGCUAGACUCUCCGCCUUCUUCUGUUUAAUGCUGCUAAUGGCCAUUCUCAAAUUUGCAGCUCUGGACUCAGGAAAGAAUUUUCGCAAGAAUUGUUCUUCUAAAUCUCCCCAAGUUCUAAUCGAACCAGGAGGAAGAUCAAAAAGCCAAUCUCUCGCUCUACCCUGCAAAGUAUGAGAAAAAGUCAAUAGCCUCAAAUUAUUUUCAGUAAAACCAUGAGGGCGUAGAGUUGAGCAAACUAGAUCAAAUUCAGCCAGAUGCUUGUGUGCACUCUCUCCAGGUAAAUCACCGAAUUUGGGUAGCACUUGAAUGAAACCAGGCCGUAUUUCAGCGUUGCCAUUAAUGGCAGGAAGGACAAUGCACAAAGGGCGAUUGCUUCUAUGACGGCCUAACUCUCUGAUCAGUUGAGGUGGUUCCUGUCGAGGAUCAACGAUCUCUCUAUCGUUCUCCUCAUCCCUAUUAUUACGGUCACCCAUUGGAUCUUCAAUUUCUUCUUGAUCCUCAAGACUCGGUGGAGCAGAAUUGGAUCUCUUUUUCCACUCCUUAGCUUGCUUCUUCAACUUUCGUGCGGUCUUCUCGAUUUCUGGAUCAAAACUAAUACGCCUGUACGAGAAGAACGGGGCAUAAACUAAAAUAAAAUAACUAAAAAUAAAAGACAGACUGAAAUCAGUAAAAUCCUGCUUAAAACCAAUCCCCGGCAACGGCGCCAAAAUUUGGUGCGUCGUUUUACACCAAAAAUAUCCGGCAGUCAGCCGGUAUGCCCACACUGUGCAAACAGCAGUAAGCAAAAUCGUCUCCCAAGGGAUUGGCGAGAAUUUCUCUAAUUAAAGUCUGCAAAGUAACCACGAAAUUUUGAGAAGAAAAUAUAGAAAAUACUAAACUUAAAAUUAAAUAAAUAAAAUCCGAAUAAACCAAUUUUUCCAAUUAGCUAAAAGAUGAAUAAAAAUUCCAACAAUUAAUAAAAGAAUUCCAGCAAUCAAUUAAGUCCACCCUAGCUCAAUUAUUCCGAUCAUCGAUGCAAAAAUAACUUUAAAUCAUGCAAACAAACCAGUUAUAACCACCGAAGACGCUUCUGACGUGAUCUUAUUUCUCCUUAAUUAUUCGGUAACCAGGAAGACGCUUCACUAAUUACUACCCUAAUCGACUGACAACCGUAAGAGACGCUCUAUAGAUUUAAUGAGCCGAUAGCAUUAAUAUCUAGAGAAACCCGAUUCAAAACCAAUAAACUCUGACGCAGGAUUAUUGAAUUAAGACUGUUUUUCCCUUGACCCUGAUGUGUCAAUUUACCACUAAUCAAACCUAAACCACGAUUACGGAUGGCCGGUUCAAUUGGCUAUAUAAUUAAUUCUAACCCAAUAAAUAUUUGCAACUAUCUAAUGGAUUAAAACAAUUAAUAUCAUUAAAUAUGGAGAAUCGCAGAUGCAAGCAUAAAAUAAAGUAUAAGAACAAUUAGAUCUCACAGAAUAAUUUCGCUAGUGCUUUCCUAAUCAAUGCCGGAAUAAACGAAUUUAGCUAGAAAACAUAAUAAUUAAACAAAUAAAUAAAAAGAAUAAAUUGCAAAGAAUGAUGAAAGAAAUAAAACUUGAUUGGAAGAACACCAAAAUCGCAUCCAGUUUCUGCUCUCAAAAGUUUGGCGUGAAUUAUGAUAUGUCUCCC